CCUACGGGAGGCAGCAGUGGGGGAUAUUGCACAAUGGGCGAAACCCUGAUGCAGCGACGCCGCGUGUGGGAAGACGGUCCUCUGGAUUGUAAACCACUGUCCCCAGGGACGAAGAUGACGGUACCUGGGGAGGAAGCUCCGGCUAACUACGUGCCAGCAGCCGCGGUAAUACGUAGGGAGCGAGCGUUGUCCGGAAUUACUGGGUGUAAAGGGAGCGUAGGCGGGGAUGCAAGUUGGGUGUCAAAACUACCGGCUCAACUGGUAGUCGCACUCGAAACUGGCGCUCUUGAGUGAAGUAGAGGCAGGCGGAAUUCGUGGUGUAGCGGUGAAAUGCGUAGAUAUUAGGAAGAACACCGGUGGCGAAGGCAGCCUGCUGGGCUUUUACUGACGCUGAGGCUCGAAAGUGUGGGGAGCAAACAGGAUUAGAUACCCCAGUAGUC
rnacentral:rRNA from 1 species